rnacentral:rRNA from 1 species
AACGAACGCUGGCGGCGGGCUUAACACAUGCAAGUCGAGCGCCCCGCAAGGGGAGCGGCAGACGGGUGAGUAACGCGUGGGAAUCUACCCAUCUCUACGGAAUAACGCAUGGAAACGUGUGCUAAUACCGUAUACGUCCUUCGGGAGAAAGAUUUAUCGGAGAUGGAUGAGCCCGCGUUGGAUUAGCUAGUUGGUGGGGUAAAGGCCUACCAAGGCGACGAUCCAUAGCUGGUCUGAGAGGAUGAUCAGCCACACUGGGACUGAGACACGGCCCAGACUCCUACGGGAGGCAGCAGUGGGGAGUAUUGGACAAUGGGCGCAAGCCUGAUCCAGCCAUGCCGCGUGAGUGAUGAAGGCCCUAGGGUUGUAAAGCUCUUUCACCGGUGAAGAUAAUGACGGUAACCGGAGAAGAAGCCCCGGCUAACUUCGUGCCAGCCGCCGCGGUAAUAC